UACGUAGGGUGCAAGCGUUAAUCGGAAUUACUGGGCGUAAAGCGUGCGCAGGCGGUUAUGUAAGACAGGUGUGAAAUCCCCGGGCUCAACCUGGGAAUUGCGAUGGAGACUGCAAGGCUAGAAUCUGGCAGAGGGGGGUAGAAUUCCACGUGUAGCAGUGAAAUGCGUAGAGAUGUGGAGGAACACCGAUGGCGAAGGCAGCCCCCUGGGUCAAGAUUGACGCUCAUGCACGAAAGGCGUGGGGAGCAAAC
rnacentral:rRNA from 1 species